AGCAGGGGACACCUGCAAAGCAGGAGAUGGAAGGCUGAGGAUGUGUCUGUAACAGAUGGCCCCUGCUUUCCAGGGCGUGGAGGACAGCACUUGGGGAGUGGGGCCUCACUCUAAGGUGGCCGGGAAGAGAGCUGUUACCAACAGAAGUGUGGAUGCCUGUCACUUAAGUGUUUCACUGCACGGGUCUGCGGGAAUCAUUCAGUAAGCAAGGGCACACCCGGCAAAAUCAGGUCCCCACAAAGCCA
rnacentral:lncRNA from 1 species